rnacentral:lncRNA from 1 species
AAUCUUAAUUCUAUUUAAGGUAGAAAAAUCAAAUUUAAUUUGCAUAGUGAUUUGAAGAUUGUAUGAAUCUUAUCUUACAAAUAUAAGUAUUGCUAUAUCAUAAAAAUGCUUUAAAUUAAAUUAAAUUAAUUUUUUUUCUUCAUUUAAAGAAUAGAUAUUUAGCACUUGUCUUUUUUACAAUUCUCUAUCAACAAGCAUAUUUUUCUUAUAAAAAUAUGUAAUACAAAAAAUAAAAGUCUAUGAUUUCUAAUAUUAUUAUUAUUUAUGGGUAUAAUCCAACUAUUUUAAAUUUUUCUCUAUUUACUUUCUAGUAUCAUUAGUUGCAUGUCUAUUCAUUUCUUAAGUCUCUUCAAUUAUAAAUACAUAAUUCACUUCUUUAAUCAUUGCCAAAAGGAAACAGUUACAAGCUUACUUCUAAUU